AGAGUUUGAUCCUGGCUCAGAUUGAACGCUGGCGGCAUGCCUAACACAUGCAAGUCGAACGGUUUUGGAGCUUGCUCCAAGAUAGUGGCGGACGGGUGAGUAACGCGUAGGAAUCUACCUUGUAGAGGGGGACAACCCGGGGAAACUCGGGCUAAUACCGCAUAAUAAUCGAGAGAUGAAAGGGUGGGACCUUAGGGCCACUCGCUAUAAGAUGAGCCUGCGUUGGAUUAGCUAGUUGGUGGGGUAAAAGCCUACCAAGGCGACGAUCCAUAACUGGUCUGAGAGGAUGACCAGUCACACUGGGACUGAGACACGGCCCAGACUCCUACGGGAGGCAGCAGUGGGGAAUAUUGGACAAUGGGGGCAACCCUGAUCCAGCAAUGCCGCGUGUGUGAAGAAGGCCUGAGGGUUGUAAAGCACUUUUAGCGAUGAGGAAGAGGUGUUGUCGAAUAGGCAAGACCUUUGACGUUAGUCGCAGAAAAAGCACCGGCUAACUCUGUGCCAGCAGCCGCGGUAAUACAGAGGGUGCAAGCGUUAAUCGGAAUGACUGGGCGUAAAGGGUGCGUAGGUGGCGAUAUAAGUUAGUUGUGAAAUCCCCGGGCUUAACCUGGGAACUGCAAUUGAUACUGUAUGGCUAGAGUUUGGGAGAGGAUAGUGGAAUUUCCGGUGUAGCGGUGAAAUGCGUAGAUAUCGGAAGGAACACCAGUGGCGAAGGCAACUAUCUGGCCUAGAACUGACGCUGAGGAGCGAAAGCGUGGGGAGCGAACAGGAUUAGAUACCCUGGUAGUCC
rnacentral:rRNA from 1 species